AAUAUUGGACAAUGGGGGCAACCCUGAUCUAGUCAUGUCGCGUGUGUGAAGAACGUCUUCGGAUUGUAAAGCACUUUAUGUUGGGAGGAAGUGUUGUAGGUUCAUAUCCUGAAUUUUUGACGUUACCAACAGAAUAAUCAGCGGCUAACUUCGUGCCAGCAGCCGCGGUAAUACGAAGGCUCCAAGCGUUAAUCGGAAUUCCUGGGCGUAAAGCGCGCGUAGGUGGUUCAGUAAGAUGGGUGUGAAAUCCCCGGGCUUAACCUGGGAACUGCUUUCAUAACUGCUGAGCUAGAGUACGGUAGAGGGUAGUGGAAUUUCCUGUGUAGCGGUGAAAUGCGUAGAUAUAGGAAGGAACACCAGUGGCGAAGGCGACUACCUGGACUGAUACUGACACUGAGGUGCGAAAGCGUGGGGAGCAAACA
rnacentral:rRNA from 1 species